rnacentral:rRNA from 1 species
UACCUACGGGUGGCUGCAGUGGGGAAUUUUGGACAAUGGGCGCAAGCCUGAUCCAGCCAUGCCGCGUGAGUGAAGAAGGCCUUCGGGUUGUAAAGCUCUUUCGGUGAAGACGAAACGGUUAGUGUUAAUAGCACUGACUAAUGACGGUACUCACAGAAGAAGCACCGGCUAACUACGUGCCAGCAGCCGCGGUAAUACGUAGGGUGCAGGCGUUAAUCGGAAUUACUGGCGUAAAGCGUGCGCAGGCGGUUUGCUAAGACAGGUGGGAAAUCCACGGGCUUAACCUGGGAAUUGCGCUUGUAACUGGCAAGCUAGAGUGUGGCAGAGGGGGGUGGAAUUCCACGUGUAGCAGUGAAAUGCGUAGAUAUGUGGAGGAACACCGAUGGCGAAGGCAGCCCCCUGGGUUAACACUGACGCUCAUGCACGAAAGCGUGGGGAGCAAACAGGAUUAGAUACCCCAGUAGUCU